UGGGGAAUUUUCCGCAAUGGGCGAAAGCCUGACGGAGUGACGCCGCGUGGGGGACGAAGGCCUUCGGGUCGUAAACCCCUGUCAGAGGGAAAGAAGGGUUGCCGACCUAACACGUCGGUGAUCUGACGGUACCUUCAGAGGAAGCCCCGGCCAACUCUGUGCCAGCAGCCGCGGUAAGACAGAGGGGGCAAGCGUUGCUCGGAAUCACUGGGCGUAAAGGGCGCGUAGGCGGGAUGGCAAGUCGGUCGUGAAAUCCUUCGGCCCAACCGAAGAACGUCGGCCGAUACUGCCGUUCUUGAGGGAUGCAGAGGAGACUGGAAUUCCCGGUGUAGCGGUGAAAUGUGUAGAGAUCGGGAGGAACACCGGUGGCGAAGGCGGGUCUCUGGGCAUUUCCUGACGCUGAGGCGCGAAAGCGUGGGGAGCAAACGG
rnacentral:rRNA from 1 species